GUGAGCCGGAUGAGGGCGUCCCUCUCCGGAGACGGCCGGAGACGGCUGAUCUGUCGGAUGGCUUCCUCGCAGUAUCGCCGCGCCAAGCGGCGCUGCUGCAUCGCAUCCUGCCAUCUCCGUUUGUUACACAAGACUGCAGCAGAGGUGGACUAAGCAGCAAGACUUCCUCUGUGGGCUAAAAGGUUAAAGGCCCUCGACUGUUUCUCCUCACGCGUCUCUCUGACUCCAACAGAUGGAUCUAGUUAUCUGUGACCUCACUGUCCGACUGCUAAAAGACCUGAACCACUCUUUUUGAGUUUCACAGAGACAGAAAGAAAAAAAAAUAAAUAAGUCAUCUGAAAUUUACACAAAGGGAACAGCCUUGUCAGAGGUGGGAUGAUUAAACUACAAAGCACAGAACUAAGUAUAAUUAUUAUUGUGGUUAAAUACAUUCAGGCAGUAAAUGAGGUUUACCAAUUUGUGAGAGAGGCCAGAAAUAUCAAAAGCCAAGAAGUAAUGUGGUGAAGUACACAUUUUAAAAUAUAGGACUAUAUUUUAGAAAAUCUGUGUUACAAAUUCCUUUGUUUGUUUAGGUCAAUGCUGAACUUAGUCUUUUACAUCAGGCACCUUGUUGGGCAGCUAAGGGGCCUUCAGGAAUAUAUAUAUAUUGAGCCGUUAGCGGCAGUUAUUCUUCAGUUACAUUAACGGCUAUCUACCUUUGCGCUCCGGUAACGGUUGGUAAUUAUCCUUUCAAUAUGAAGCGCCGUAUUUCAGCGCUAAUUUUAGCUAACCCUGUUUAAUUCUGGCUUUUAAAUGACUGAAGUUGUAUGUUGAAAUUGAAUAACUGAAACACAACCAUUCAAAACCUCAAAUUAA